rnacentral:misc_RNA from 1 species
AACAAGGAUAGAAGCAGCGUCGUGCGCAAUGAAACUGACAGAGACGACGAGUACCGUGGACACUGUAAAAUCGACAAGAACGGAGGUACGGCCAAUGCUGUGAAGAGAACAAGGACGAAGGUACCGGCGAGACGAGGUUCGGCGAUACCGCGUCGACGUACACGAUGAUGAAGACGGAGACGCAGCUACCGACGAGCACUGUGCAACCGACGAGGACGAGGCUAAAGCGGGACGGGAGGAAGCUAGGUGGCUGGGUGGAGGGAGGUUAGGGGACGAGGUGCUCGCGUCUGGCUAGCUCGCGAGACACCACUCCCCACUCGGUCUGGUCGUUCUCUCCUCUAGCUUCCUCUCUUUCUCUCUCUCUCCUCUUUCAGUGUUCGUUCGAACGCGGCCCGGUAUGGUUCUGUCGUCCCGUGGUGUCGAAGGGUCCGCUUCAUCAUGGGAGCUCACUGCCACGGUGGUGUCGGCAGGUCACCUCGGUAGCCGGUUCCCAACGCCGAUGUAGCUUCUUCAGGGGGACCCGCGCGGUUUUUGCUAGUCUCCCGGUAAAAGGGGUGUGCGCGACGAGGAUUAUUGGGGUGGGUGUGCGUGUGGAGUGAGGGAAGACGGGACGGUGAUAAGGUAGACAGAAGACUCUCUAGAAUCGUCUGAUGAUGAGCAGACGAUACAGAAGAUCUUGAAUGGAAGACGGGAAUCAGUAAAUAGAGACUGAGAGUGCCAGUUUCUUCGAGUUGCUCGAAGCCUAGGAGACCGGUGUGUACGUUGUUAUUUGCGGCCAAACUCCGAAACAUCGUAAGCUUUUUCUUCAGCAAAGACGGGCAUGUUUAUGUUACGCGCUCGAGAGAUCCAAUUCGCCAGCGUUUUCGUGUACGUGGUUAAAUCUAAGAUCGUUGCAUCGUGUUAACGCGACGAGGGAAACAAGUCGAGCAAAGGGAUAGCGCCAGAGAAGGAUAAAUAGUGGAUAUUGAAAUCUACUUGUUUGUUCACUCAAGGCUCGCUCGAAGGCAGAGAUUUGCUUUGUCCUUUUGCAUCUCUUUCCUCGUGAAAGAAGAAGCAAGGCUCUCUUAGAAUUCGUGUUUGUCGAGGUCGGGUGGGAGUCGUGAUUCCAAACAACACCACACAAGAUCAUAUUGCUCACCGCCCUGAAUGAAGAACUGGACCCCUGACAGAAGUGCUUCAUUUUCGAAGAGACGACGGCCAGAUUGCUAGGAGACGCAAGAGCGCAGAGUUCCAGUCGUCAUUUUCUGGACACGUCUGGACUAAAAUGUCUGGCAACUAUUCGGCACGCUGCGAGCCAGGCCUGGUGGUGCCGAUGUGGCAUCCGGAGGACAAUCUGCACCUGAUCGACAUUGUCUUCCGAGGUGUGGUGUAUUUCUUCCUGUUGCUGUAUCUAUUCAUCGGCGUGUCGAUCAUCAGCGAUCGCUUCAUGGCAGCCAUUGAGGUGAUUACGUCCAAGGAGAAGGAGCUGGUGGUGCGUCGUCAAGGCAGGGAGCCGCAGAUCGUCGUGGUGCGGGUGUGGAACGAGACGGUGGCCAACCUGACCCUGAUGGCGCUCGGCAGCAGCGCGCCCGAGAUCUUGCUAUCUAUCAUCGAGAUCUGGGCGAAGAACUUUCAGGCCGGUGAACUCGGCCCGGGCACGAUCGUCGGCUCGGCCGCUUACAAUCUUUUCGUCAUCAUCUCUUUGUGCGUCUUCGUGAUCCCUAAUGGCGAAACCCGGAAGAUAAAGCACCUGCGCGUCUUCUUCGUUACCGCGACCUGGAGCAUCUUCGCUUACGUGUGGCUCUAUGUUAUCCUGGCGGUCUCCAGUCCGGGUGUGCUGGAGGUCUGGGAGGGUAUACUAACCUUCUCCUUCUUCCCAGCCACGGUCCUGUCGGCUUACAUCGCCGAUCGAAGACUGCUGAUCUACAAGUAUCUGCACAAGGGCUAUCGGAUGAACAAACGAGGUGUGAUCGUGCAGGCCGAGUCCGGGGACUCCGAGGUGGGGGUAGAGUUGGAGAUAAAGCCUCAGCAAGAUGGUCUCCACAGCAUGGUGGACCGUCUGGGCGAGGGUGACUCUCCCGAGGCGAGGGAGUUCGAGCAAACCCGCAGGGAUUACAUCAAUACCUUGAAGGAAUUACGUAAAAAGUAUCCCACUCUGCCCCUGGAGCAGUUGGAGGUCAUGGCCCAUGAGGAGGUGUUGGGCAAAGGUCCCAAGAGCAGAGCUUUCUACAGGGUGCAGGCCACGAGAAAGAUGGUAGGCGCGGGUAACCUCAGUAGAAAGAUCAGCGAAAGGGCGCAGAGCGACCUCAGCGAGGUCAAGGCCGAGUUGCAGAAGCAAGAGGCCGAGAGCAUCGACAUCGACCAUGUCAACGCCAUGAGGGUGUUCUUUGAGCCUGGCCAUUACACUGUAAUGGAGAACGUCGGGACCUUCGAAGUGGGAGUCACCAGGGCUGGCGGUGACCUCAGCAGACCCUGCAGUGUGGAUUAUUGCACGGAGGACGGUUCCGCCGAGGCGGGAUCUGAUUACGUGAGUGCCAAGGGCACCCUGACCUUCGAGCCUGGCGAGACUAAGAAGACCAUCAAGCUUUCGGUUAUCGACGAUGAAUUGUUCGAGGAGGACGAGCACUUUUACGUCAGGCUCAGUAACGUGUCGCAGCCGGCGAUGCUCGUCUCACCGAGCCUAGCGACGGUGAUGAUCCUGGAUGACGAUCACAGCGGCAUCUUCGGCUUCCCGGAAAGGGACGUGGAGUUGGUGGAGAGCGUCGGCCAGCAUCCCCUGCGAGUGGUGCGCUACAGCGGGGCCCGCGGACGCGUCAUCAUCCCUUAUCGCACCGUGGAAGGCACCGCGAAACCCGGCAAGCAGUACGUGCACACCGAGGGCAGUCUGACUUUCGAGGACAAUCAGACAGAGAAAAUCAUCAGUUUGGAGAUCAUCGAGGAGGAUUCCUACGAAAAGGACGCGCUCUUCUACGUCGAAUUAGGCGAGCCGCUGCUGCAAGGAGCGGAGGCAGGAAUUGCGGCGGCGGCGGAGCUGAAGCAGCCGGAGGAGAGAACGGAGGAGGAGAAAAUGGCGUUGCUGGGCAGACCGCGAUUAGGCGAGGUGUCACGGGCUCAGAUCAGGAUCAAGGAGUCGAAGGAGUUCAAGAACACCGUGGACAAGCUCGUACAGCGAGCGAACGCCUCCAUCAUUCUCGGCACAAGCUCUUGGAAGGAACAAUUUACGGAGGCAUUGACCGUUAGCGGGGGUGAUGAGGACGACGCUGAGGGUGGAAGCGGUCAACCGUCCUCACCAUCGGCGAUGGAUUAUCUCAUGCACUCGCUCACCAUCUUCUGGAAGGUUCUCUUUGCCUUCGUCCCACCGACCGAUAUCGCCGGCGGUUACCUGUGCUUCAUCGUCAGCAUCCUGGGGAUCGGCGUCGUCACGGCGAUAAUCGGCGACGUCGCCUCCUACUUCGGCUGCACCCUGGGCAUCAAGGAUUCCGUCACCGCGGUCGUCUUCGUCGCUCUCGGCACUAGCAUCCCCGACACGUUUGCCAGCAAAGUAGCCGCCUGCCAGGACAAGUACGCCGACGCGUGCGUGGGCAAUGUGACCGGGAGUAACGCGGUGAACGUCUUCCUGGGGAUCGGCGUUGCGUGGAGUAUCGCCGCCAUUUACCAUGCCUGCCAUAACCAGACGUUUUUCGUCGAGCCCGGCAACUUGGCCUUCUCCGUUACCCUGUUCUGCACGGAAGCCUGCUUGGUGAUUCUGGUGCUGCUGGUGAGGCGGACCAAGUCGAUCGGCGGCGAAUUGGGUGGGCCUUUUAUACCGAAGGUCAUCACAUCCGUGUUCCUGUUCUCCCUCUGGCUCUUCUACCUCAUCAUGUCCACCCUCGAGGCCUACGGCGUGAUCCAGGGCUUCUAAAUCAGGGUCCGUGCGACGCCACUACGUCGGCCUAUCCACUGCGCGUAUCUUAGCACUGGCGUCCGCCAAGGCGUGUGCUCAACGAAACUUCUACCUGGACACAAAGAAGCGAAAUCGGGAAAACGGCACGAUUUCGCGAAAAAACGAACUCUGACUGUGCCGGGAACUCACAUAAGUUCACCCCCGACCUGAGACAAUUAACAACGAACGUGAUCGCGUGACGUAUUCAAUGCGUGGAUAUGUGUAUGCGUGUGUGUGUGUGUGUGUGUGUGUGUGUGUAUGCGUGUAUAGGUACCUGAGAGCGCGAGUGUGCUUGCGAGAGUGUGUCUCCAAUGAAGAGAAGGAAGAAAAUCAAUCGGGAAAAAGAGUAAAACGAAGAAAGAAAGAAAGAAAGAAAGAAAGAAAGAAAGAAAGAAAGACAGAAAGAAAGAAAGAAGAAGGAUGAAGAGAGAGGUGUGUGCGAGGAAAAAGUGAGUUUGCCUUAAAAUAAUUCAAUUCAAAAGAAAGAAAGGAAGGAAGGAAAGAAGGAAGGAAGAAAGGAAGGAAGGAAGGAAGGAAGAAGGAACAAAAAAUAACAAACACGUUCUAGUCGAGCCAUAUACUCCCGCGAUGAGCGAUCAUGGCGCUAUGUUAUCGAUGAGAAGAGAAAAGAGAGGAGAAGCAAAUGAAGAAAAAAAAGAAAUAUAUAUAUAUAUAUACAAAUAUAUAAAUAUAUAUAUAUAUAUAUAGUAUACGCGUGCACCGCCGAAUCGUGGGAUACGCGCGUGUACAUAGUGUAUUUAUUUAAUCCUUUAAGGAAUACAGGUUUCUAUGGUAUUUUAGUAGCGGACUGUAUUGCAAUUCCUUUUUCGCCAGAGAUCGACGUCGCUAAUUUUAUAUGGACGUAUAUAUUGUUGUGUGUACGCGAC